CCUACGGGAUGCACCAGUGGGGAAUAUUGCACAAUGGGCGCAAGCCUGAUGCAGCCAUGCCGCGUGUAUGAAGAAGGCCUUAGGGUUGUAAAGUACUUUCAGUUGGGAGGAAGGCGUUGAUGCUAAUAUCAUCAACGAUUGAUGUUACCAACAGAAGAAGCACCGGCUAACUCCGUGCCAGCAGCCGCGGUAAUACGGAGGGUGCAAGCGUUAAUCGGAAUUACUGGGCGUAAAGCGCACGCAGGCGGUUGAUUAAGUUAGACGUGAAAUCCCCGGGCUUAACCUGGGAAUGGCAUCUAAGACUGGUCAGCUAGAGUCUUGUAGAGGGGGGUAGAAUUCCAUGUGUAGCGGUGAAAUGCGUAGAGAUGUGGAGGAAUACCGGUGGCGAAGGCGGCUCCCUGGACAAAGACUGACGCUCAGGUGCGAAAGCGUGGGGAGCAAACAGGAUUAGAUACCCGUGUAGUC
rnacentral:rRNA from 1 species